UAAACUUUCUCGCUUGGCAACUUUCAUGUAUACAAUACAAUAUUAUUACCUGUAAUCACAUUACAUCCCCAGGACCUUUUUUUUUUUUAAUUGGAGUAUAGUUGAAACACAAUUAUACAUUAGUAUUAGAUGAACAGAACUAUUUAUCUUACAACUGGAAGUUUAUACCUUUUGACUACCUUCACCCAUUUCACCCAAGUUACCACCAUUUAAAAUUCAGAAGAUUUCACAUGAAAUUCUGAUUUCUGGCUUUUCUAGAAAAACCAUAAGCUUUCACAACAUAGUCCUACUUUUUGUUGUUGUUGUUAGUGAGCUGGCGGUCGGGGAAGCAGAGGGAGAGAGUCUCAAGGGGGCUCCAUGCUCAGAGUGGAGCCUGAUGUAGGGUUUGACCUCAUAACCCAGACAUCAUGACCUCAGCCAAAACCAAGAGUGAGAUGCUUAACUGACUGGGCCAUCCACGCGACCUAGUAGUCCUAGAAGUCUUGCACAGCAACGCUGCAGAAGAGGAGUAGCCACCACUCUUUCAGUGGGGCACUCAUUCUUCAUUUUUUUAAAAAGAUUAUUUAUUUAUUCAUGAGAGGCAGAGAGACAGAGGCAGAGGUACAGGCAGAGGAAGAAGCAGACUCCAUGCAGGGAGCCCGAUGUGGGACUCGAUCCCAGGUCUCCAGGAUCAUGCCGUGGACCGAAGGCAGCGCCAAACAGCUGAGCCACCCAGGCUGCCCUCAUUUUUCAUUUUGGCACAGUCACCACCACCCUCUCCUGCCUCCCUGACACUUAGUUGGCACUCACUAUCCUGCUGAUCUAGUAUCUCUAUACACACUGCCUGCUCCACUCAUUUCCAUCACCUGUUAUCAUGUGUGAUUCCUCUAGAAGUUUCAGGCAUGCAGGUGUCUUCCUAUGAGGGACUGGCCAAAGUGCCUCUGUAAAGUCAUACUCCCAGUAUUUGUUUAUUUUAUGUACACACCUCCCAGGGCAGGGCCUUUCAAUCUGAGCUAUAGGUUCAUCAGAAGUGUUUAAGAAUUAUAUUUGAUAUAUUUUAACAACCUUAGCUUUAGAAUACUAAUUUAAACACAUUCACAUGUACACUCCAAUGUGUCAUCAACCAAAUUUUAAUUCAACCGCAAAAUACUGCUUGCGCCAGUAGGUUACAUUGUUUUGACAAGGCCUCAGAAAUAAUCUUUUUUUUUCCUUUCAGAAAUAAUCUUCAGUAAUUGCUAUCCAAUUGAUGAGUAGCUUGAUGUUGCAAGGCUAGUAGCUUAAAAAUGCCACCAUCUGUCUCUAAUCUUUGUUAAGGCUUUCGCAGGACUAUUAAACUAAAUUGGCUUUUGAAGCUGGUGCAUGACUGCAAAUGGCCAUCACACCUGCCAUUUCAAAUUAGACAUAGGAAAAAUCAAGAGGGGCGCCUGGGUGGCUCAGUUGGUGGGGUGUCUGCCUUCAGCUCAGAUCAGGAUCCUGGGGUCUUGGGGUUAAGUCCCAUGUCAGGCUCCCCCCCUCUCGCUACCCUUUCCCCCACUGUGCUCACUCUCUCAAAUAAAUAAAAUCUUGAAAUAGAAAAAGAAAAGAAAAAAAACAAAAACCUGUUGCUCUGGGGGGAAAGAACUAGACUGGUGGAAGACAAGAAUGGGAAGCUUUUCUUUUUCCUUUGGAACACUUUCACUGUGUAUCUUUUCACACUUCUUUUUUUAUUUAUUUUUAAAGGGUUUUACUUAUUUAUUCACAAGACACUAGAGAGAGAGAGAGAGGCAGAAGCAGGCUUCAUGCAGGGAGCUGGAUGUGGGACUCCAUCCUCAGUCCCCAGGAUCACUCCUUGGGCUGAAGGCGGCGCUAAACCGCUGAGCCACCCAGGUGUCCCUGCCCCACACCUUUUUUUCUUUUUCUUCUUUUUUUUUUUAAUAAAUUUAUUUUUUUAUUGGUGUUCAAUUUGCCAACAAAUAGAAUAACACCCAGUGCUCAUCCCAUCAAGUGCCCCCCUCAGUGCCCACACCUCUUUCAAACAACAUACAAUACUAAUUCAGUACUAACUAUUCCAAAUGUUAAAAAAAAAUUCUAAAACAAACAAAAAAUAAAAA
rnacentral:lncRNA from 1 species